rnacentral:lncRNA from 1 species
AAAGAUUGCGACAACGACUACUUUUCAAAAAAAGCGCGUGGCAAGCUGUGAUUGCCAGGUUCAAAAAAUUGGUACCAAAGCGCUUCCAUCAGCUUCAUCUUCAACCUUGAGUUAUUUUGCAGAUCCAUGAACUAGUAUUUUUAGCAACACCCAGGCAGGGAGAUAUCAUCGCAAUACAUCAUCGUUCAUGUCUCCCUGCAUUAGAGUCAUUGAUUGGCUCUGAGCAGGGAGAAUUUUG